rnacentral:misc_RNA from 1 species
AAGACUAUAGACCUGCGGAGUACCUGCGGAAGGAUCAUUAACACAAAUGAUACAACCCUCUUUUGGUUGUUGGAGUGAGAAUCUUUAUUGAUUUGAUCUCCUCAACCAAAUUACCCUAAUGGAAAAAGUUAAAGUCCAUUAACAUUAUAAUUUUAAUGAUAUUGGAUUUUAAUCAAUCUUAACAAAGACACUGUCUAAAUCAUCAUAUUCUGUUAUGAUUAUAUCUAAACAUAUAAUCUU